rnacentral:rRNA from 1 species
GAUGAACGCUGGCGGCGUGCCUAAUACAUGCAAGUCGAGCGAACGGACGAGAAGCUUGCUUCUCUGAUGUUAGCGGCGGACGGGUGAGUAACACGUGGGUAACCUACCUAUAAGACUGGGAUAACUUCGGGAAACCGGAGCUAAUACCGGAUAAUAUUUUGAACCGCAUGGUUCAAAAGUGAAAGACGGUCUUGCUGUCACUUAUAGAUGGAUCCGCGCUGCAUUAGCUAGUUGGUAAGGUAACGGCUUACCAAGGCAACGAUGCAUAGCCGACCUGAGAGGGUGAUCGGCCACACUGGAACUGAGACACGGUCCAGACUCCUACGGGAGGCAGCAGUAGGGAAUCUUCCGCAAUGGGCGAAUGCCUGACGGAGCAACGCCGCGUGAGUGAUGAAGGUCUUCGGAUCGUAAAACUCUGUUAUUAGGGAAGAACAUAUGUGUAAGUAACUGUGCACAUCUUGACGGUACCUAAUCAGAAAGCCACGGCUAACUACGCG